rnacentral:tRNA from 1 species
GCCGGAGUGGACAAAUUGGUAAAGCCGCUCGGUUGAGGGCCGAGAGCUCGAGAGAGGUUGGGGGUUCGAAUCCCCCCUCUGGCA